AAUGGGCGCAAGCCUGAUCCAGCCAUGCCGCGUGAGUGAUGAAGGCCCUAGGGUCGUAAAGCUCUUUCGCCAGGGAUGAUAAUGACAGUACCUGGUAAAGAAACCCCGGCUAACUCCGUGCCAGCAGCCGCGGUAAUACGGAGGGGGUUAGCGUUGUUCGGAAUUACUGGGCGUAAAGCGCACGUAGGCAGAUCGGAAAGUUGGGGGUGAAAUCCCGGGGCUCAACCCCGGAACUGCCUCCAAAACUAUCGGUCUAGAGUUCGAGAGAGAUGAGUGGAAUUCCGAGUGUAGAGGUGAAAUUCGUAGAUAUUCGGAGGAACACCAGUGGCGAAGGCGGCUCACUGGCUCGAUACUGACGCUGAGGUGCGAAAGUGUGGGGAGCAAACAGGAUU
rnacentral:rRNA from 1 species